ACUCGACUUCAACUAUGGUACAUCAUUAUGUCUAGACUGUCAGAAGGACUACACGGAGGUGAACACGAUAUUCGCGACCAGGAUCCAGUUUUACGCCACUGAGAUUGCGAGAAACAGAGAAGGAUAUAAUGACUUUGUCCACAAAGCCAGUUCAAAAGCCAAACAACAGAAAAAAGAUGAGUUAAUCAUAACAGCUUAAUAUUUCUUGGUGUAGAUGAGAUCUUUCUACACAAAGUAGAGAAACAGUUAAAUAUGUCCUACUUAUUUUUUUCCCCCAUAUGUAAAAGUUGCUUUUCUCAUUUGUCUGCAAAAGUUGGAUGGUUAUUCAGUUAUGAUUUUCCUGCAAUGUCUGGCACCUUUUGUUUGUAAUAAAUAACUACAUAUUUUCCCCUGAAAAA